rnacentral:miRNA from 1 species
AUGUGUGUGUGUGUGUGUGUGUGUGUGUGUGUGUAUAUAUAUAUAUAUAUAUAUAUAUAUGCACGCACACACACAUACACACACAAAA